GGCUGCCGGCACCGACAUCGGCACCGGCACCCGGGGGUCGGGGCAGCGCCGCGCAGCCGGGCGGCGGAGGCGGCGGGGCUGAGACCGCAGCCCGCGCCCGGCCCCUGCGGCCGGGCCCCGCGGGCACCCCGGCAGCCCGGUCCCCCUGCACGCCUACGAAGCUGUUUCCCCUGCUAUGAUGCCAGGGCAGAUCCCCGACCCGUCCCUGACGGCUGGCGCGCUGCCUGGGCUCGGCCCUUUGACAGGACUGCCUGGCACAGCCCUGACUGCCGAGGAGCUGAAGUGCGCCGACAUCCGCAACAUCGGGGCCAUGAUCUCGCCGCUCCACUUCCUGGAGGUGAAGCUUGGGAAGAGACCCCAGCCUGUGAAAAGUGAGCUGGAUGAGGAAGAGGAGAGGAGGAAAAGGCGCCGGGAGAAAAACAAAGUAGCAGCAGCACGAUGUCGUAACAAGAAGAAGGAGAGGACGGAGUUCCUGCAGCGGGAGUCUGAGCGUCUAGAGCUCAUGAAUGCUGAACUGAAGGCCCAGAUAGAAGAGCUGAAACAGGAGAGGCAGCAGCUGAUCCUGAUGCUAAACCGGCACCGUCCCACCUGCAUCGUGCGGACAGACAGCAUCAAGACUCCCGAGAGCGAAGCUAACCCGCUGCUGGAGCAGCUAGAGAAGAAGUGAAGGUGGCACUGGGCCAGGAGGAGGAGACAGUGGCGCAGGGUGUUCCAGGGUCUCUGAUGUAUGUACUGUAUGAAGAACUGUGCACCCAGACCUGGUGCGGACCCAGUGAGGACCCAGUGGGCUUCCUUGGGAACUAUGGACCAAAUAUGGGGACAGAGAAGAUCAGGAACCUGCCAACCAUGUACUCUGAGGCUGAACCUGGGAGCAGGGCUAGUGGCACCAGUGAGGGCAACCUCCCUGUGAUACCUCACCACAGCCCUCCAGCCUGCUCGCAGCCCUGGGGACCCACGAUGCCACAUGUCCUGCAAGGACCACACACCCCGUGGGUAGCAGGGGCGGCAGGCAGAGGAGUGGCAGCUGCACGGUGCCCACUAGCACCCUGCCCAGAGGCUGCUGCUGCUCCUGGAGCAUGCUCCAGCAGGAAACCCAAACCCAAGAACCACAAACACUUGAUGCAGCCCCGUCUGGUGGGCAGGCCUGUCGGGGCUUGGUGGCGCAGGCGCCCCUCACAAGCACACUCAGUAUAAUGUUUACAGCCCAGCUGUCCGUGUCGGCCGUGCUUUUGAAUGCACAUUUUUACACUUUUUUAAAGUAUUUUUUACAAAGUUUUUAUACAGCAAUCUCUAUAAGGAUUUAUAUAAUCACUAGACGUGAUCCCAUAGAAAUGUCCCUCUGCUUCUGAGAUACUUGAGGUGCCUCAACAACCAGGACCACCAGCAGGAACUCCUGAUGUGCCAACAGCCUCAUCUAGCACAUGCCUAUCUCCUGUUUUGUGAGAUCUACAUUCAGGUCAUAACCCUUGUGCUCCUUCUCAUACUCCCUAGUUCAGAACAGAGCUCUCCCCAGGGUGAUGUGGUACAAUAUUUUUCCUGAAUCCCAAGCAGGUGAGCCCUAUCACUUUUCUAUUGCUUAGAUGCUUGUCGCAGCUCCCUGGUGUCCUUCACAUACUACCCCAGUUUCCUCUGCAAAGCCACUCUUACCUCUUCUCUCCCAAGGAAAGGUAGGUGCCACUUUGCCUCAAAGCACCAGGCCUGAGGCACUGCAGGUAUGUUGGGCUGAGGAUCCACCUACAGUAGGUUGGUGUGGGUGCUCCACACUGCACACCUGACUCCCUUCUUCUUGCUGGACCCCUGAGAAGUGGCAGGGCCCAUGGGCAGCAGGAACUCAGUUUCCCUAGAAGGGUCCCUGGUCUUGCCAGCUCUUCACUCUCUCUCCUGCAAUCAUGAGCAGCACAUCAUGCUCCCAAAGCUUUGUGUUAGCUCCCUUCCAUUACUCCUCCUCUUAGCCUCUUCCCACCUGCUGCCCCCAUCCCCUUGUAGGUGAGAGUCCCUGUGUGCUGUCCUGGGAGCAAAGGCAUCCAACAUCUCCCUUGGCCUGCAGCUGGUCACAGGCAAGGGAUGCUUGGAGGCCAUUACUUUGCAGUUUUUCACAGUAUUGUUCUCACUUUGUAUUUGAAAAACUACCUCCUCUGCCUUUCUCGUCAGGGGCCAAGGGCGACUCCGUGACACUGUGGUAAGUGGUAUUAACUAACCUUUGCCAGUGACCUGCCUCUCUUGUUUCAUUUUGAGCCAAGGGCAACAGGUAUUCAUUUAUCUUUGUCCUUAUUGGUUCGUCUACUCAACUUGCUGUAAAAUAAGCCCCAAAAAUCCCCAGCUUUGAUAUUUACCAAGAGUCGUGAAAACUGCUUUGGUUACCAUGCAUGCCAGACUAUGCUGAGCAGUACUGGCACCAGCAUGGCCCAUGACUGAGUGCAGGACUGGAGCCAGGGAAAACUGUGUUGCCAAGAUAUUUGCAGAGAAAUGAGAAAAACUAACUAGUGCUUCCCUGAGCCUGGAAGUACCACUUGGUUCCCCAUGCCUUUGUACACUUUUUGCUUAUUCGUGAUCGCUGUUUGCUGGUGACUGAAGCAUGGGCGUGAGACAGUGGGACACAGGUACAGGCCCUGGGCCUGCAUGGAGGCACCAUGCUCCUGCUGGGCUCCGGAAACUGCCCUGAGGGCAAAGCAGGCUGGGUUACCUGUCUCUGAUUAAGGGCGUGAUUCUUCACACACCGUGCAGUUGGUGGGGUGACCAGGGUCGUCUCUUGUCUGAGUGAUGGAGGCAGGCAGGGCAGGUGCUGUUGGAGGUAUAGCUGGACCCACUGGCAGUGGACUUGCUGUCAGCGUCUCUGCCACCAACACUUUCCAUCUGAGGAAAAAAUCCUUCCCUACAGCCAGGAGGACUCCCUGGCUCUCGCUGGGCAGGACCACCGGGAAGGGCUGGCACCUCGGACAGCAUGGCUGGGAUUUGCCUUUUCUCUGCAUCUGGUGCUCAGGAAGUUAUUCCCAAUUAGCUAAACUGAUGGGCUGGUGUGGUGAUGAAAAACCCUCCUCCAGAUGCCCUGCUGCUGCGUUAAAAUGGGUUUACUUUGGUUUGGUGUUUUGGAGUGACCAACUCAAGUGGACUCCAGACCAGGGAUGCAUUUAGCAGAGUGGGCAGUGGGUAUGAUGGCCUGUGGUGAUAAGCUCUUUGUGAGCAAAGCCUGCUCAGAGGGGAGGGAGUGAGCCGUCUUGUAUCAGGACUGCUCUAAUUCUGAUUAAGACCAUCUGCCAAGGGGUUUACUGAACUUCAAUCACUUCCAAAUUUAAUACAGCUUAGCUGUUCUGAAUGUUUCUGUGCGACUGACUCUUGGUUCUCCAGCCCUGUAUCCUGCUGUCUGUGCAGGGUGCCAUGGGUUUUGGUGAAAGGUUAGCCCCUUGGAGGAGGAAAAACUCCUGCCAUUCAAGGCAGGAUGUGGGUAGGACUGAUAGCUCCACAUCCCUGUCCAGCCCAAGGGACUCUGCUGGACAAAAAGGCCCCGUUCCAACCCUGGCUCCCAGAAUUGCAAACCUAGAGCUCCUAAGAAAUACUAGCAAGAAGCUACUUCCAGAAGCUUGCACAGGUUUCAGCAAAAGCAGAGGUUGGGACUGUUUGACAACGAGGUUUCACUGCUGCCUGUCACGUCUCAGAUGAAGCUUCAGGAACAGGAUUGUUUGCCAGUAACCACCACCUUGUGCUGAUGUUAUCUAGUUUCUGCAGAAUGAAUUUGCUGAGUUGUCAUCUGUGGCACUGUCAGGGGAAGUCCUGACUCCUGACACUGCAGUUCCUGCCUCUGCUUUGCCAUAGCCCCAAUUCCAGCAGCAUUAUCUGGGCUGGUUGGAUUUGCUGGACAACUGCUUGUCCUGAAAUUGCAUGGAGUUGUCAGGAGGAAGUGGGAAGCAAGGCUGUGCUGCAGGCCUGUAGGCUCCCAAAUCCAGUUAAGUCACUGGGCAGGCUAACAAAUAGUUUCUGAUUGAGGAUAAAAUGGCUACUGACAGCUCAUUGCAAGGUAAUGCUGAACACCUGGUGACCAGUGAGCAAGAGGGGGUUUGUGCUAGAGCUAUUGUGUGGAUAUCUGCAAGUGCCUCUCAGUACCCAGGCUACUGGCUUCUGUGACAGAGGCAAGCUCUCUGGGUGCCAGACAGAGGCACUGCUGCAUUGCGGAGACAUUUGCUGAGUGAGGCAUCCCUUUUCUUCUGUGCAGACUUUCCCUACAAGCAAAGUGAUCUGAUUCACUCACCAGCUUCAGCCAGCAGAUAAUAGAUGAGUAGCUGAUAGGUGCUGGUGCAUGCUGGCACUGCUGUGUGACCAGGCAGGAUGAUGGCACCCCAUGCUGCCAGUGUAACAGACUGGCAGAACCAAACUCACUGGUUCAAACAAAAUCCCUUGGCUGCAGGCGCAAAGUGUUCUCUGUGUCUGUGCUGCAGAAGCAGACAUCUGUUCUGCUGCCUGUUGGACACCUCAGGUCACUCGAUCACGUGCACAAGGUUUAAGAGCAAUGCAAACUGCCAGUGUACCCUACCUGGCCACUUGCACGUGAGAUGGAACCUCAUUCAGGCAGGA